rnacentral:rRNA from 1 species
GAGUUUGAUCAUGGCUCAGGAUGAACGCUGGCGGCGUGCCUAAUACAUGCAAGUCGAACGGAAAGGCCUCUUCGGAGGUACUCGAGUGGCGGACGGCUGAGUAACGCGUAGGACGUACCCCAAACUGAGGAAUAAGCACCAGAAAUGGUGUCUAAUACCGCAUGUGCUCUACGGAGUAAAGCUUCGGCGGUUUGGGAACGGCCUGCGUAUGAUUAGCUUGUUGGUGAGGUAAUAGCUCACCAAGCGACGAUCAUUAGCUGGUCUGAGAGGAUGAUCAGCCAGACUGGGACUGAGACACGGCCCAGACUCCUACGGGAGGCAGCAGUAGGGAAUUUUCCACAAUGGGCGAAAGCCUGAUGGAGCAACGCCGCGUGCAGGAUGAAGGCCCUAGGGUCGUAAACUGCUUUUAUAUGUGAAGAUUAUGACGGUAGCAUAUGAAUAAGGAUCGGCUAACUCCGUGCCAGCAGCCGCGGUCAUACGGAGGAUCCAAGCGUUAUCCGGAAUUACUGGGCGUAAAGAGUUGCGUAGGUGGCAUAGUAAGUAGGUAGUGAAAUCCUGGGGCUCAACCCUUUAAACAUUAUUUAAACUGCUAAGCUAGAAUAUAGAAGAGGUCGCUGGAAUUCCUUGUGUA